rnacentral:rRNA from 1 species
GCCAUGGAGCUGCUACACAUGCAGUCGAGCGGUAGCACAGAGAGCUUGCUCUCGGGUGACGAGCGGCGGACGGGUGAGUAAUGUCUGGGAAACUGCCUGAUGGAGGGGGAUAACUACUGGAAACGGUAGCUAAUACCGCAUAACGUCGCAAGACCAAAGUGGGGGACCUUCGGGCCUCAUGCCAUCAGAUGUGCCCAGAUGGGAUUAGCUAGUAGGUGGGGUAACGGCUCACCUAGGCGACGAUCCCUAGCUGGUCUGAGAGGAUGACCAGCCACACUGGAACUGAGACACGGUCCAGACUCCUACGGGAGGCAGCAGUGGGGAAUAUUGCACAAUGGGCGCAAGCCUGAUGCAGCCAUGCCGCGUGUAUGAAGAAGGCCUUCGGGUUGUAAAGUACUUUCAGCGGGGAGGAAGGCGAUAAGGUUAAUAACCUUGUCGAUUGACGUUACCCGCAGAAGAAGCACCGGCUAACUCCGUGCCAGCAGCCGCGGUAAUACGGAGGGUGCAAGCGUUAAUCGGAAUUACUGGGCGUAAAGCGCACGCAGGCGGUCUGUCAAGUCGGAUGUGAAAUCCCCGGGCUCAACCUGGGAACUGCAUUCGAAACUGGCAGGCUAGAGUCUUGUAGAGGGGGGUAGAAUUCCAGGUGUAGCGGUGAAAUGCGUAGAGAUCUGGAGGAAUACCGGUGGCGAAGGCGGCCCCCUGGACAAAGACUGACGCUCAGGUGCGAAAGCGUGGGGAGCAAACAGGAUUAGAUACCCUGGUAGUCCACGCCGUAAACGAUGUCGAUUUGGAGGUUGUGCCCUUGAGGCGUGGCUUCCGGAGCUAACGCGUUAAAUCGACCGCCUGGGGAGUACGGCCGCAAGGUUAAAACUCAAAUGAAUUGACGGGGGCCCGCACAAGCGGUGGAGCAUGUGGUUUAAUUCGAUGCAACGCGAAGAACCUUACCUGGUCUUGACAUCCACAGAACUUGCCAGAGAUGGCUUGGUGCCUUCGGGAACUGUGAGACAGGUGCUGCAUGGCUGUCGUCAGCUCGUGUUGUGAAAUGUUGGGGUUAAGUCCCGCAACGAGCGCAACCCUUAUCCCUUUGUUGCCAGCGGGUUAGGCCGGGAACUCAAGGAUACUGCCCAGUGAUAAACUGGAGAGUGGGGAUGACGUCAGUCAUCAUGGGCCCUACCAACAGGGCUACCCACGUGCCUACAUUGCCCAUACAAGAGAGCGAACCUCGGAGAAGCAAGCG